AUUGAACGCUGGCGGCAGGCCUAACACAUGCAAGUCGAGCGGAUGAAGGGAGCUUGCUCCUGGAUUCAGCGGCGGACGGGUGAGUAAUGCCUAGGAAUCUGCCUGGUAGUGGGGGAUAACGUCCGGAAACGGGCGCUAAUACCGCAUACGUCCUGAGGGAGAAAGUGGGGGAUCUUCGGACCUCACGCUAUCAGAUGGGCCUAGGUCGGAUUAGCUAGUUGGUGGGGUAAAGGCCUACCAAGGCGACGAUCCGUAACUGGUCUGAGAGGAUGAUCAGUCACACUGGAACUGAGGCACGGUCCAGACUCCUACGGGAGGCAGCAGUGGGGAAUAUUGGACAAUGGGCGAAAGCCUGAUCCAGCCAGGCCGCGUGUGUGAAGAAGGUCUUCGGAUUGUAAGGCACUUUAAGUUGGGAGGAAGGGCAGUAAGUUAAUACCUUGCUGUUUUGACGUUACCAACAGAAUAAGCACCGGCUAACUUCGUG
rnacentral:rRNA from 1 species